GGUCCCCCCCCCCAAAAAAAAGAGGAACAAUUUGAACAUUUUUUAAUUUAUCACAAAUUAUCCUCUUUUUUACUUUUCAGUUUGGGAAAAAAAAGCCAUUUAGUUUUUAGUUAAAAGAUUUCCCUUUGAUUACUGGCCAUUAGUAGCUAUUAAGAAAUGAAACUGUGUUUUCACAGUUUCAGACAAGGCAGCCAAGUUCAUUCAAAGCUUUUAUAUUUUGCUUAAACCAUAAACAACUUGCCUUCAGAAUUGAAGUGUACAGUAGGAUUAUUAAUGAAUUUGUGAGUUAUUCUUCCCCCCUAUGUUGGCAUUAGGAAUAAAUGAAAGAAAAAAGUUAUUAAAUUAAAAAUUGUUAUUAUUACCACAUGGCAAAUGUUGUGCUAAGCAAUGAGAUACAAAGAUUAAAAAGGGAAUAUUUCUUGCCCUGAAGGAGAAUAAUUCUGAUAUGGAGAAGACAGCACAUAGGGAGAGAGAACCAGAGAAAAGGGGGUUCUGUACUGAGGAGGUAGAGAAGGGCUUUGGUAUUGGUCCAGAUGGGAAGGAGCAGAUCGGCAUAAUCAUGCAGAAUAGGAGAUGUACUGGGUGAAUGGCUGGCUAGAUGAGAGGUGAAGUAUGGUCUGGUGUGCAGGGCCAGCCAGGAGUUAUAGUGAGCUAAUUUGUGAAAUGAGCCGGAGAAGGAAAUGGCAAACCACUCCAGUAUCUUUGCCAAGAAACACCCCCACCUCCAAAAGGGGUCAUGAGGAGUCGGUCACAACUGGAAAGGACAGUACAACAACAACAAAUUUGCAUAGUCAGCAAUCAGCUGGGGGUGAGCCCUUAGGAUGAAAACCCCGAAGAUGAGUGAAUUAACUGCCUGGGGCACUGGGGUCAUGGAUUCAGAAAGACAUGCAUAUGGAAGUCGGGGUUCUAAGUCUAAUGUGGAAGGUGCUGGUCCAGGGAUGGCCUGCAUAUGGACUUCUGGAUGGGGUGUGAAGCUUAUAUGUAUUGGUAUUGACUCUGCACUUGAGAACCAAACAGAACAAAACUAAUCCCUGUUUUCAAGCAGCCCUUCAAAAUUUUGAAGAUAACUAGUUUUCAUCGAAUUGUCUCUUCUCCAAACUAAAUAUCUCCAGGUUCUUCAGUUAAUGCUCACAUCACAUGGACUCAAGACCCUUCAUCAUCCUGAUUGUCCUUCAUUCUCCUCCAUUCUGGAUGUCAUGCUCUCCAGCUUCCUGAUGUCUUUUUAAACUAUGUCACGAGGACAGGAGGCCGAGGAGAUGCAGAACCACAUGUGAUAAAUAGAGUAGUGAAGACAUAGGAGGCUGGGAGAAGGAAAUGAGGAAGAGCAUCCAUUACAUUUGAAUUCAAUAGCAAUAAAGUAAUUCUUGUGGAAAAUCCCAGCAGUAUAAAUUUGCAGGACGGUAUUAAAAUAGAAUUUCUUCCCGAUCAGGUAACCUGUCUAUUAGGUAGGCUCAAUAAUGUUUGGACACAGAUUUGCCCAACUAUGAACAAUAAAUAUUUGUUUCUUAUUCUGGUUAUUGGUUUGAAUAUUGUCACUUAAUCCUCACUUUCAUUGUAUGACCCAACCAAUCAAUAAGCCAUCCUAAUGCAGGAAGGUUUAUCAAACAAAAGAAGUAAUAGCCUUUUCUCAAAAACCUUAAAAUAGGUAUAUUUUAUUAAACUAAAUGAAGGCUUAAUGGUGAAAAUGAGUGGACUGAACAAAAAGGCACCAUUGUACCAUGGAUGAAUAAAUGAAAUAAAUUAAGUUCUAUUUCAUAUAAUGCACAAGUACUUUAUGAUUGGUCUUAUUUGUCAAUAAGCAUAGUAAAGUAGUUCUCUUUUAGUGGAAAAAAAUUAAUGUUAGAUUUGUCUGGACUUUUUUUUAGGUGAGCUGUGUGUUUGAAGAAAAGUUGGUUAUGAUUUAGAGGAUUUUCAAAAUGUAUUUUAAUAUUUGUCUUAGUAUUUUUAAAGUGUAUAUUUUAAGGGUAAGUGCUUUAAAAAAGAGACAAAAUGACCAUAUUAAGUUUGUGAUACAACAAAAAUAACAUUGAAAUAAAGUGAAAAAACUACAAUAAUA